ensembl:lncRNA
UAUCAAUUAUUCCAUGUUUAUAAAACAUUCAUGUUAAGUAAAGUGCUGCAAAUGAUACUUCCAUAAACAGUUUUAAGACAUUUUGCAACCUCCAAAAUUUCUGGUUAUCUGGAUAUAUGAAGUCUACAGGUGAUUAGUACGGUACAUUCACAUUAAACUUAAAUUGACACUAAGGUAUCUGUCACAGUGUUUGGUUCAUAGAGUUUAGUCUGAAUGCUCAAUUUACAUCUGGGGGAUUCUUCUUAUACCAAGGUUUUUCUCAUUCAGUUAUGAGUGAAUAAUGAAUCCAAAUUAAAUAAAAAUUUAUUUUAACAUUUCAUAUAAUUCUACUCAAUUAUAAUAAAUUGUCAUUUAUCCUUCCUUCAUAAACAUUUAAAAAUCAAAACCAAAUCAGUAUAUGAAAGUAUGCAUUUGUGCAAAGCCAUGAAAAUCUUAUCAGAGUUUUCAUUUGAGUAGGCACUUGCAUGUUUUGCCUUUAUUCUAAUUCUCAAAGGAAGACUUCAUAAAUUAUGUUGUGAAAUAAUAAUGAAUACCUUGGUUUUACACAGUGCCUUUAUCCAAGGAAUUAAUUUUCUUGUUCUCACAAUAUCAUGGUGAGGUAGAGUGGAAAUAAAUACUAGAAUGCUCAUUUUAUAGAAGGAGAAACUGAGGCACGUGAGCUGUUAAUUGAUUUACUUCAAGCCAUCAUAAUAGAACCAGAAUCCCAACUUGUUUAUUCCCAUCUAGCUUAGGUCAGAUUUACACAGUAGUGGAAAGAAGAGAUAGGAAUGCAUAAAUAUCUAAUUCUUGGACCUUCUAAUAUUAUCCCUAUCAUUAAUGGUAAUUUAGUCAAAUAUCUCAGAAUAAUUUUACUUCUACACUAACUAGGUAAUUUGAAUGGUUCAAAUCAGAAAUGUUAUUUAAAAAUCCCAGCCUGAAUGUUAAAUGUGACAGUAAACUGCAUGAAGGGCAGACACUAUUCCUAAUCUGGUUGGUUUAUUCUACAAUGCCAAGCACAGUAGUUUUGCAAAAAUGUUGGAAAAAUGUUAACAUUAAGCACUAAUUUCUUAAACAAAUAAUGCUUAAUAUGAAUGUUGACGUUGCUUAGUUUGUUUUACUUCUCUUAGACAAAUAUUUUUAAAACAAUACAAAUUUAACAUUAUUCUUGUGGGUGUGUGGUUUUUUUCCCUCUCAAAUGAAGCAAAUGGAAUUAUUUCAACAAAAUAAGAUUCCUAAAAUUUUUUUAAUACUAAAAGUUUAAUUUCAAUAAAGAGCAUUGCUUUUCCCCCUCCUCUUAUUACACGGCUGUAAAAUAGAUGUUUCUUUAUUAAUUCAAUUGAAUCAGCAUUUGUUAAGUGCCUAAAACAUUGAAGACACUGUGCUAGGCACUGGGGGGGGGGGAGGAGGGGGGGAGGACAAAGACCAAAAGGAAAAAACAAAACAAAACUCAAUGGUCCUGCCCUCAAAGGAGCUUAUAUUCUGCUUUCUGAGCCUCAGUUUCCUUAACUAUAAAAUGAUAGGCCUGAAUUAGAGGACUUUUAAGGUCUCUUUCAGCUUUAAUAGUAUGAUUCUAAAAAAGGUCCUUAGUGUAAAGAUUUUAUUUUUUAAGCUAACAGAAAAAGGGAGAAACAAAGGUUUUUCAAAAAGGGAAAAUAGUCUUUUCUUCAAAGUCCAAAUUGAUAUACCAACAUAGAAAACUUCCACUUCUCUAGAAUUAUUUUGUUAUUAAAAAAAAAACAUAGUACAUAAUCACCUAGACUAUAUUAUUACAUAUUGUUACUCAGAAUGGUCUAUGUGAAAUUAGAGAACAAUUACUCUAAUAUAUUUAGUAUCAAAAAGGUACACCUGGUUCACUUUGACUGAAUAUUUUUUGACUUGAUAGGAGAUUUUAAAUCAUUUUAAAAGAGAUACAGGGGAGAGAUACAAUGCCAUAGUAUGUUCUUGUGAUACAGCACGUGUAGCAAGAUGACUACAGGGAAACUUUUUUUUUAAUGUGCCAGAUGACACAAAUUCUCAAACACAAAGGCAAAUGCACAACUGAUUUACACCUAUAUCUCAAAACCAGAAAAAAAAGAUUAUAUACAAAAAGCCUUGACAACUACUCCUUUCAUUAUAUGUUGCUUGGUUUAAUUAACGUUUUGAAAAGAGUUCUGUUUUGUUGGAUACAUAAUAAUCACAUUUAUUUUUGAGCAAAUAGCAUUAAAGUGCACACUUGCUUACAAUGCCACUGUUUAAGGAAAGCUAGUGUAUAUCUGAACUACUGUACUUCCAAUCCUGGUUAACACCUUUUCCCAAGCCAACUCCCACCCCACCCCAAGCCCAUUUUAUUUAUUUAUUUUUUUAAUAUUUGACCCUCUAACAUUCAUUGUUUAUCCAUCAUACAUCUCAACUGUUGACAAUCUUCUGUUAGGCUUGUCCUUUUUAUACUUUUAUGACUACCUGGAUUGUCUUAAAGGUACACUAAGGGGGGGGGAGGGGAAACCUAUACUUUUUCUCAACUGAGAAAUUGAAAUGGCUUUUACAUAUGUUUGGACUUCCUGGAUAAGAAUGUUUUUAUGAGGAAGCUCAUAUGAAUAAAGAACCUGUAAACUAUUUAUUACAAUAGUGAUAUAUAACUUUUUCUUCAUGUCCAGAAACUUUCAUUGAAUGGAAUUAGGACAUAUUUCCCCAAGACCACACAAUUUGUCCAACAAAUAGUUUUCCUUUGUUCCAGAAUAGGCAAGAUAACAAAGGCACAGACUCACUUUGUACCAAAAGGGACAAGCAAACAAUAACCACUAGGCACCUACUGAUACAAAAGCACAGCAACCACAAAUAGGAAAUGUCAAAAGUCUUAUGUAACUUUUCUCCCUACAAUAUUUGGCAAAUUCAGUCUAGAUUUUUAAUACCUCAGAAAGAAAAAUAAAUAAAUAAGGUACACCACAUUAAAAUGUAGAAUUACCUAUAAUUUUUCUUUAGGAAGAUAAGGCAGGUAAACAAAAGGAGAGAAAAAUAGGCUUCCUAUUUGCUGGGAUUAUCCUUCCUUUCUGAGGGUUCCAGGUGACCAUGUUCAUCUUUUAAAAUGCCAGCUAUAUUAGCUGUUUUUGUAAUAGCUGACAUGGUCCCUCAACCCUUCUCAAAGUUUCACAUUAAUAAAUUGGUUUCAUGUCUUCCUUUGUUCCUUAAUAACAAAUCUGUUCCUUAUAACAAUUUGAGUUAUUUAAAGAUUUUCAAAAAAAAGUUUUUGUGAUAUUUUGAUAGUUAAAAUCUAUUCCAGAACCCAAAUCAUCAAGAGAUUACCAUGUGUAGACUUAAAAUGACAAAUAAAUACAUUUCCAAACGAAGUGAAUUCCUCUUUUACUUAAAUUACCCAGACCAGGGGUAUAGGACUAAAUAAUUCUGCUAGGCAGCUGAUGUUCACAAAUGACAGCAAAGACUAGAGAACUCCACAAUUUUAGGGGCUACUGUUUCAUCAACUAAUGUAGGAGAUAAAUCAGCCUGUGAAGGAAAAAGGCUUGUUUAUGUUAAACGUCAGCACUCACAAAAUCCCUAUUCACAAGCUUUUGACAAACAGGGAACAAACUACAACAGAAAUUUUGUCUGUUUACAUCACGAUCAGCAUCUGCAUGACAUAGCAAUACUUGCUUUUUGAUGGCAAUCGAUUUAGGAGCAGGCCACUUAACACAUCUAUAAGCCUACUACUGCAGAAAUAACCUGGAAAUGUAUCAGCCUAUCCAAAGAGUUUAAAAUAAU